AACGAACGCUGGCGGCGUGGAUAAGACAUGCAAGUCGAACGAGAGAAUUGCUAGCUUGCUAAUAAUUCUCUAGUGGCGCACGGGUGAGUAACACGUGAGUAACCUGCCCCCGAGAGCGGGAUAGCCCUGGGAAACUGGGAUUAAUACCGCAUAGUAUCGAAAGAUUAAAGCAGCAAUGCGCUUGGGGAUGGGCUCGCGGCCUAUUAGUUAGUUGGUGAGGUAACGGCUCACCAAGGCGAUGACGGGUAGCCGGUCUGAGAGGAUGUCCGGCCACACUGGAACUGAGACACGGUCCAGACACCUACGGGUGGCAGCAGUCGAGAAUCAUUCACAAUGGGGGAAACCCUGAUGGUGUGACGCCGCGUGGGGGAAUGAAGGUCUUCGGAUUGUAAACCCCUGUCAUGUGGGAGCAAAUAAAAAGAUAGUA
rnacentral:rRNA from 1 species